AACUCUUCCAGUGGAAAAGCCGAAAAAGGCCCAAAAGCCCAACAAGCAAACUCAGCCAUCAUGUUCGUCCUGCGAAUCCAGUCCGUCGACGACCCCGCCGCCUCCCCGGCCGCCGUCGCCGCCGACGAAGUCGGCACCAACAGCGGCGCCGCCACCACUUCCCACCCCCUCUCCCCGUCCUCCAGCCACCCUUCCCCUUCCGCCACCACAUCGUCCCUACCUCACCUUGAGGUCCCCGGCGCGACCUCGGCCGCGCCUGCACGAAGCCCUAGGAUCCACCACAUCAGCGGCGUCAUCCACCUCUACCGCUCGUCGUCCUCCACCUCCAACUCCUCCUCCUACGCCUCCGCCGUCGCCGCCACUUCAUCCUCCUCUUCCGGGCUGGCCGCUCCGCAGCCCGCCUCCGAUUCGCUCCUCCCGCCAUGGCGAGACACGCGCCUUCUGGUGCUCGCAGUUCCGACGCGCGUUUCGCCGGACGACUUCAUCCGCUUCUGCGGCCCCUACCUUGGGCGCGCCUCGGACAUCCGUUUCAUCAGAGAUGAUGGGGUGGAGGACCGUUAUGGCGUGCUUGUGGAGUGAGGACCAGAAGAGCGCUGACGGGUUCUACUUGGACCUGAAUGGCUGGAGGUUCUCGUCCUCAGAGGGGGAGGUUUGCCAUGUUCUGUUUAUAGCUGCAGUGCAGUAUACACCGUCUACUGAGAUAGCAGCGACUCCACCGGUUGGAUCCACCGAGCUUCCAAUAUGUCCUGUUUGCAUAGAAAGAUUGGAUCAAGACAUCAGCGGGAUUCUGGCAACUACAUGUGAUCAUUCAUUCCAGUGUUCAUGCGUUUCAGUGUUGGUCAAUUCAUCUUGUCCGGUAUGUCAGUUUUGUCAGAGGCAAUCCGAAAAUUCUACAUGCUCUGUUUGCCAAACAACUGGAGACCUCUGGAUAUGUGUGAUAUGUGGUUUUGUUGGAUGUGGAAGGUAUAAGGAAGGACAUGCGAAACAGCACUGGAAAGACACUCAGCACUGCUAUUUGCUAGACUUGGAAACGCAGCGUGUUUGGGAUUAUGUUGGUGACAGUUUUGUCCAUCGACUGAAUCAUUCCAAGAGUGACGCAAAGCAUGCUAAGUUUAAGUCUAAAUGUAAAUACUCUGGGGAUGACUGUGUACACUGCUCGUGCAGUGAUGACUCAGACAUGGGUGGAGCCAUGUUCAGCAGCAAAGCUGAAACAAUCGUGGACGAGUACAAUCACCUCCUGGCAAGCCAACUCGAAACUCAGAGAGAGUAUUACGAGGGCAUGUUGUCUGAGGCUAAAAGAAACAAGGAACAGCACAUUUCUGAAGCUGUUGAUAAAGCUGUAAACGAUAAGGUUCAAGAGAUCCAAGUUAAGCUUGAGAACCUCAUCGUUGAGAAAAAGAAAGUUGCAGAAAUAAUGAAAAACUCACUAGAAGCCAAGAUGUGUGGCGUCAGACACUAAGAGACAUAGAGGAAACGGAGAGAGCACAGUUGAAGUCAAGGACGAAAUGAUCCGUGACCUGGAAGAACAGCUAAAGGAUUUCAAAUUUUCCAUCAAGUUGCAGAAGUCAAUAGGCUGGUACCACUUGCUAUGGUGCCAGAUUCUGGAGGCAAGGGUAAAAGGUCAUCAAGAAUAAGCAGCAAGAAGAGGAAUUAAUAGCAGCUUUGCCUAUUGUCAAAAACAUCUUUUACUGUCGACUCUAAUUUGCUCUUUAGAUCAUGUAACAAGAUAAAACAGUAAAAAAAACGUCAAUAGUGGGAGCUUGACAUGGUAGGCCAUUAUACAUGAUUUGUGAUGACUAAAAAAACGUGAAUCUUAUGCUCUCCACUGGUUAUAAACUGUACUUCCUUUGUUCCAAAA